rnacentral:lncRNA from 1 species
AACCCAUGAUAGAAUUUUUUGUAAUCCAUGAUCGAAUGUUUUGUAAUACAUGAUCGAAAUGUUUGUUUUUUUUUUGUAAUCCAUGAUCGAAAUGUUUGUUUUUUUUUGUAAUCCAUGAUCGAUUUUUUUGUUUUUUGCUUUUUUUGUAACCCAUGAUAGAGUUUUUUGUAAUCCAUGAUUGAAUUUUUUGUAAUCCAUGAUCGAAUUGUUUUUUUCUUUUUUUGUAAUCCACG